UGCACUACCUGAAUAGCUAUUGAAAGAGUGAGACUUCUCAGCUCCUGCUUCAUUACUGGGUAGCAGCUAUUCCAGUGUGUAAGAGAGCCGAACUGCAUUCUCCCCUCGAAAACCCUUUGAUCAGGGACAACGUAAACCGUGGCAGUUCAAGCUCCCCUCACAUCCUUCCACCUGCUUGCCCCAAGACUGAUCCAAAGGACUACUUCUAGGGUGAACAGGCCCCUUGAGUGGCCAUUGUACCUCAGCAGCUCAAACAUACUCCAACAGAAGACUAA